rnacentral:rRNA from 1 species
GACGUAGGAUGCAAGCGUUGUCCGGAAUUAUUGGGCGUAAAGAGUUCGUAGGUGGUUAAUCAAGUCUAAUGUUAAAUCAUAGAGCUUAACUCUAUUCCUGCGUUGGAAACUGGUUAACUAGAGCAAGGUAGGGGUUAGAAGAAUUCCUGGUGUAGCGGUGAAAUGCGUAGAUAUCAGGAGGAACACCUGUGGCGAAAGCGUCUGACUGGGCCUUUGCUGACACUGAGGAACGAGAGCUAGGGGAGCGAAAGGGAUUAGAUACCCCAGUAGU